CUUUCCGUGUGUAUCUGUCCCAGCAGCACCCUGGCACCAUAGCAACCUGAGGGAGUUCCAGCCCAGAAGAUAAGCAGGGUUAGGCUUGACUGGACUUGGAUGGGGGGCCACUUGGGGAGACCAGGAGCUGGAGGGU
rnacentral:rRNA from 1 species